rnacentral:rRNA from 1 species
GUAGCUUGCUACUGGAUUCAGCGGCGGACGGGUGAGUAAUGCUUAGGAAUCUGCCUAUUAGUGGGGGACAACGUUCCGAAAGGAGCGCUAAUACCGCAUACGUCCUACGGGAGAAAGCAGGGGACCUUUGGGCCUUGCGCUAAUAGAUGAGCCUAAGUCGGAUUAGCUAGUUGGUAGGGUAAAGGCCUACCAAGGCGACGAUCUGUAGCGGGUCUGAGAGGAUGAUCCGCCACACUGGGACUGAGACACGGCCCAGACUCCUACGGGAGGCAGCAGUGGGGAAUAUUGGACAAUGGGGGGAACCCUGAUCCAGCCAUGCCGCGUGUGUGAAGAAGGCCUUUUGGUUGUAAAGCACUUUAAGCGAGGAGGAGGCUACCUAGAUUAAUACUUUAGGAUAGUGGACGUUACUCGCAGAAUAAGCACCGGCUAACUCUGUGCCAGCAGCCGCGGUAAUACAGAGGGUGCGAGCGUUAAUCGGAUUUACUGGGCGUAAAGCGUGCGUAGGCGGCCAAUUAAGUUCAAAUGUGAAAUCCCCGAGCUUAACUUGGGAAUUGCAUUCGAUACUGGUUGGGCUAGAGUAUGGGAGAAGGAUGGUAGAAUUUC